UACAGAGGUCCCAAGCGUUGUUCGGAUUCACUGGGCGUAAAGGGUGCGUAGGUGGUGGGGUAAGUCUGAUGUGAAAUCUUCGAGCUUAACUCGGAAAUGGCAUUGGAUACUACUCUGCUAGAGGUUUGGAGGGGGGACUGGAAUUCUCGGUGUAGCAGUGAAAUGCGUAGAUAUCGAGAGGAACACCAGUGGCGAAGGCGAGUCCCUGGACAACACUUGACACUGAGGCACGAAAGCUAGGGGAGCAAACAGG
rnacentral:rRNA from 1 species